UCCGGAUCCGUNCGACAGAGUUUGAUCGUGGCUCAGAACGAACGCUGGCGGCAGGCUUAACACAUGCAAGUCGAACGCCCCGCAAGGGGAGUGGCAGACGGGUGAGUAACGCGUGGGAACAUACCCUUUCCUGCGGAAUAGCUCCGGGAAACUGGAAUUAAUACCGCAUACGCCCUACGGGGGAAAGAUUUAUCGGGGAAGGAUUGGCCCGCGUUGGAUUAGCUAGUUGGUGGGGUAAAGGCCUACCAAGGCGACGAUCCAUAGCUGGUCUGAGAGGAUGAUCAGCCACAUUGGGACUGAGACACGGCCCAAACUCCUACGGGAGGCAGCAGUGGGGAAUAUUGGACAAUGGGCGCAAGCCUGAUCCAGCCAUGCCGCGUGAGUGAUGAAGGCCUUAGGGUUGUAAAGCUCUUUCACCGAUGAAGAUAAUGACGUAUCGAGAAGAG
rnacentral:rRNA from 1 species